GCCCCCGUAGCUCAGUCGGAUAGAGCAGCGGUUUCCUAAACCGCGUGUCGCACGUUCAAUUCGUGUCGGGGGCACCA
rnacentral:tRNA from 1 species